AUCGCCAUUCCCCCAUGCACCGGAUGAGAAACUACCAGUGCCGGAGAUGAAGGGCCCGUGUCAGAAUUUACUGGACCCCAGCUACGAUCCGUCCUUUGUGUGCAGAGUUGUGAGAAUAGCAGCUGGGAAGCCUCUUUCCCCAAAGCUCUUCCCUUAUCCACUAGUAUCCGCCCCCUGGCCUCUGCCCUGAGGACGCCAUGCAGCAGGAGACAGGAAGGCGGAACUGGGCUAAAUGAGCCGGAGCAGGGGAGACGCUGUAAUAGGAGGGGGGUCGCCCCCCACUUCCCCUGGGUGCCUCCCAGGGCUCUGCUCAAAUAUCUGGUUCUGGAGGUGCACUACAGGGAUUCUUGCUGUUGUUGCAGUUUUGAUCUUGUGUAUUCACCUUGCAGUAAAUAGCUCGUCAGGGAAAGGUUCUUCUGGCUCUCCUCCUCUGGAACCAUGCCCUGCCGACUGGCUGUACCACAAAAGGAAAUGUUACUACUUCUCUGAGAAAGAAAAGGACUGGGACUCCAGUCAGAGCUUUUGUUCUUCACACAACAGCUCCCUAACUGUAAUUGAAAACCAGCAGGAACUGAAAUUUAUAAUGAAAAUAACAAAGCAAGAUCCAUGGAUUGGACUUCACAAGACAGGAGAAGAAUUCCAUUGGGUAAACGGGACUCCAUUAGAUACAAAUCUGUUGGCAGUAAAGGGUUCUGGAGAAUGUGCCUAUAUUGAAUCAGCUGGGGUCUCCAGUUCUGGAUGCUCAUUAACCAGGGGCUGGGUCUGUAAAAAAACCUCUUAGCUCUGUGUACUCAGGCUUCACUCAGCCAAUUAAUGUAAGAUCCAGGGUUCAACUGUCACAGUUCAGGGCAACUGCACCUGUAUUUCCCCUCAGUGACCCAGCAAGGGCACCUAGUCUCAGGCUUGCUGCAUCUCUCUCCCUUCUGACUGGGGCUGCACAGUUCCCUGCCUUUACUGUGUUGUUCCCAGCACAGACAGGUUGCCCAAGGACACCUGCUUGCUUUCUCCUCCGAGACAGUUAGCAGGAAUAAUUGCUACAGUUACAAGAUACCAUACAGCACUUCCUAUGACAGCCCACUUUAUUCUUACGGUAAAAAUCAUUACAGAGAAAGCAUUAAAACAAUAAAAGACACUACACACAUGCUACUAAGCUUCCCAGAGUUCACCCUAACAUGGAUACUAGCAGGAGCAGUUCUUCCAUCCCCCCACCCAACAAAUUCCUUCUGGUUACAAGUUCAUCACAGCAUCAACUCAGAACAAGCUCACUAGGGCCAGUGCUUCCAACCCUGCCAGAAGGAUUGGGGCCUUCUGUGGACCAGAGGUCCUGUCUGUUUGCUGGAUCAGGAAGAAGGCCCUGAGCUGGUUGAAAAUCAGGCUAUUUAUCCAAAAAUCUUUUUUGUCUGUUGGUCCCUGGAGAGUCCAGUUUGAACUAGUGGAGGCGCACUUCUCCAGGUGGUGGUGUCUCUCUGGAGAUAUUACAAUCUCAGUGCAUGUGCCUAAUUACCCCCUGCUGUUCUCUUAUUUAUCCUUCCAUGGAAACACAUACAAUUCCACAGUAAUACAGACACAAUUACAUCUUAAUACAGUGGACCCCCAAAGGUAUUCACCUAUUUCAAUAAGGUCUAACUUAGUUCAAUAAAGUUCCUUCAGGAUAUUGCAGGAACUUGUCUGUUGCAUUGACAACAUUUUGAAAUCUAUACAUUCAAUGUAGCCUCAGUACAUUUACAUACAUUUCAAAGCACUAACAACUAGAUUACCAAAAUCUCUUACCAAAAACACUAACCCACAACCACCCCACCUGGGUUCAGAAAGGAAGGAGAAAGCUCUAUUAGCCAUGAACUGAGAACUCAGCCACUGGUUUGCUGUGAAUGCUGCUUGUCAGUCUCGUCUCAUAUCACUGAUUCCUUGUGCUCUCCCCUUCCCCUCAAUCUCUUUGGUGUAUCCACCUGUUGUUUCUCAUACUAUAGUGAGGGUAUGUCUACACUGCAAUCAGAAGUGUGACUGCAGCACGUGUAGACAUACCUGAGUUAGCUUUGAUCUAGCUAGCUCAAAUUACAAUAGCAAUGCAGCCACAGCAGCACGGGCUGUACAAUCCUGCUGGGGACCUUGGUUAUGCAGUUGAGCAGCUAGCCUGUACUGCCACAGCUUCAGUGCUAUUGUUACACGACCUAGUUAGAUCAAAGCUACCUCAAGUAUGUCUAUGCUUGCUGCAGUCUCACUUCUGAUUGCAGAGUCCAAUCUCCUUGGCUAGCUAUAUCAAACCUCUUUUUGUCAUGUUUGUGCAGUGCCUACCACAAUGGGGCCAUUAUCUCUAGGCAUUAUCGCAAUACAAAUAAUUAAUACUACUACUGAGAGUCACUUUCCAACCGGAGGAUGUAAUUCAAAUAAUUCCUGAGACCACAAGUUUGUAGCACAAGAUUCGGUUCAGGGGCAUCUACUAGGGUCGCUUUCCUUUCACACCGAAAGAACAUGUGCUGUGGAAACAGUCCGAAGGGCUAUUCCAGUCCAGCAGUAAAGUUUAAGGAAGGCAGGGCAAGUUCCCAUCCAACCCUGAGCUAGGUAGGAAUGGAAUCUUAGGUUUCUGAGUGAGGGCAUGUCUAUGCUACGGGUGCUACAGUGGCAGCACUCCAGCUAUGCUGUUGGAUCACCAUAAAGUAGAGGCUUCCUACAUUGACAGAAGCAGUUUUUCCAUUGACGUAAGUAAUCUGCCUCCCCAAGCAAUGGUAGCUGGGUUGAUGGAAGAAUUCUUUCCAAGCACCAGGGGUUAGGUCGGUUUACCUAUUGUGCUCAGAAGUGUGAAUUUUUCACACCCCUGAGCACUAUAGCUAGAUGGGUCUAAAUGUUAAGUGUAGAUCACGGCUCAGUAUAUGAAUCUACUAAUUUCUCUGUUGAGAGAGUUCUAAGACUAGUGAGGGAUAAACGAGAGCAAGGUGGCUGUGGAACAAUGACCACUGUGAGUGAGUUUAUAUGGCCCAGCCAAUUGAUUCUAGCUGCUGGUGAUGUUUGACUCUUAGGGUAAAAAACCAUUCCAAAUCAGCUGUCUGCAGUUGGGAAGGAUGAUGAGUUAGCAUAAGUCUAAGAAGACUGAAAGCCCUCAGCUUUCAUUUUAAAAAUAAUUUUCCUUUGACGAGCCAUGGCAAUAAAACCAACCCAGAACCCCACUGGCAGUUUGUGUGCAGCCAUCAAUGAGUGCCUGCUGGUUAGCGAAAAGAGGAUCUCUUCAUAUUCCCAUGAGUGUAAAAGUAUGCCUUGUUUUACAAAUUAUUUAUAAUAUUUACACUGCUAAUUUCCCCCCAUAAAGCUCUGUUGUUACUAUUCUCUUUGCCUUGUAUAUUUUUUUCAAUGUAUUUUUCUUUAUUUAUUUUAUUUUCUUUGUUUAUAGUUUAUAUGCUAUUUGGUUUUGUCUGUAGCACUGUAGAUAGGUUGAUCUAAAUGUUAAGUGUAGAUCACUGUCUCAGUAUAUGAAUCUACUAAUUUCUCUGUUGAGAUAGUUCUAAGACUAGUGAGGGAUAAACAAGAGCAAGGUGGCUUUCAGACAUUGAGUGAGUUUAUGUGGCCCAGCCAAUUAAUUCUAUCUGCUGGUGAUGUUUGACUCUUAGGGUAAGAAACCAUUCCAAAUCAACUGUCUGCAGUUGGGAAGGAUCAGGCAUUACCAUAAGUCUGAAAAGACUGAAAGCCCUCAGCUUUCAUUUUAAAAAUAAUUUUCCUUUGAUGAGCAAUGGCAAUAAAACCAACACAGAACCCCACUGGCAGUUUGUAUGCAGCUGAUUAGUGAAAAGAGGAUCUCUUGAUAUUCUCAUGUGUGUAAAAUUAUGCCUUUUUUUACAAAUUGUUUAUUUAUAGUAUUUACACUGCCAAUUUCCCCCCAUAAGGCUCUGUUUUUUUUUUUCAAUUUAUUUUUCUUUGUUUGUUUAUAGUUUAUUUCCUAUUUGGUUUUGUCUGUCAUAUGUAUAAUGUCGGUAGUAUGUCUUUAUAAUGACAGGACAAUAUAAAUGUCCUGGAGUUUAUGAUUUCAAUGCCUUUAGUGACUUAAAGUUAUAAAAAACAAAUUUUCAUAUAAAAAGUCUAAUAAUUUGUAGAUUUAAUAAUAAGUACAAGCAGAUUUUUUUUUUAUCUUUUGGACACACAUACCCCUCUGAAGGGAAAAGUAGUGCAGCUGUGCUGAAAGUUUUUCUGAGGAAUACCCCUACGGCAAAUAAAUAUUCCAUGUAUGUGUGAACAUGUGUUUUGUGUAAUUAAUUAAUUACAAUUCUCAUAACUUUCAGAUUAUUGGAUGAUACUAUUCUGUCAUUAUUUAUAUGUCUAAUUUAGUUGUUUCCCCAUGUGUUGCCAUGAAAAUUCAGAAACACAUCUAACUCUUAAAGUAUUAAAAUGUAUUACAAAACAUAUAUUUACGGUAACAUAAUUAUGGGGCAUAGUAGAAUUUACUUCUGCUUAUUCAUGUGGCAGAGUUUUCAAAAUAUUGGCAUUUACCACCGUACUUUUAGAAACUUAGUAAAGUAUGUACAUGUCAAAAAGGUUAUUCAUCCACUGUGUUUCAUGUCUUAAAGUCUCAUGAUAAGCAGAUUGAACUGAAUAGUUCUUAACAAUAGGACAAUGUACAUUGUUAUGCUUUCUCAUAAUUAAUUAAGCUUUCCAAAAAAUUCAGCUCUGGGCAGAGAUCAAGCAUGGACAAUUUCAGCUGUUAAAGGGGAAUGUUUGGAAAAGUUCUAAGAACAGGUUUCAAACAAGAUUGAACAAGACCAGCAGGAAAAAAGGGCAGGAUACAGAGCCCAUCCCUAGCUGCAACCUGCAGUUCUCUUUUCAGCUGAGCAGCUACUAGUCUUGGAAUGACCUUUUGACAUCUGCUGCCACCUCAUAUAUCCUUACAAACAAUAAAUCUGCUUCACACCAUGAUGAUGGUGAAAUAAAAAAGCACCUUCAACUGCAAUGACUUUCGGUGGGAGCUGAGGACACACAGCAACUUGCACAAAGUACUCAGCACCACGUUAGACCGGGCCAUACAUAAGGGCAACUCUGCUCUGGUGUCCCAGAAGAGUGACUCGUCAUGCGAACUUCAAGGACAGAAAAACAGGCUAUUUCCUUGGUGAUCAAAGAGUCUUUCAUGCCUCAUCUUACAAGCCUUAAUCAACUGAACAAGGAGCACACAUAUGAGAAUGCAAGAUGGGGUUCAUGGACUGCGAGACACAAGGUACUUUCAGUCCCUAAUAAACCCCUUUCCCUUUGUACACGCAGAUCUCUUCAGCCUCUAAAGCUGAGCCCCCAAUUCCCAUGUGUUCAAGAAUCUUGAUCAGGUGGCAAGGACACUGGUGCUUCAUCCCCCCAGGAGCCUGGAGAUGUCUGCUAGCAACCGAGCAUCUCAUUGGGGCACCUCCUCGCCAUGCGUCCAUUCCAUUGCCAUAGGGAGAUAGACCAUCAACCCAUGACGGUGUUUAUAUCCAACUUCAGUUCCGUUUUCAGGGCUCUGCUCAAAUAUCUGGUUCUGGAGGUGCACUACAGGGAUUCUUGCUGUUGUUGCAGUUUUGAUCUUGUGUAUUCACCUUGCGGUAAAUAGCUCAUCAGGGAAAGGUUCUUCUGGCUCUCCUCC